rnacentral:rRNA from 1 species
UAUNGCACAAUGGGGGGAACCCUGAUGCAGCNACGCCGCGUGGGUGAAGGAGCACCUCGGUGCGUAAAGCCCUAUCGGCAGGGAAGAAACAGACGGUACCUGACUAAGAAGCCCCGGCUAACUACGUGCCAGCAGCCGCGGUAAUACGUAGGGGGCAAGCGUUAUCCGGAUUCACUGGGUGUAAAGGGAGCGUAGACGGCGACGCAAGUCUGGAGUGAAAGCCCGGGGGCCCAACCCCGGGACUGCUCUGGAAACUGCGUCGCUGGAGUACGGGAGGGGCAGGCGGAAUUCCUGGUGUAGCGGUGAAAUGCGUAGAUAUCAGGAGGAACACCGGCGGCGAAGGCGGCCUGCUGGACCGUGACUGACGUUGAGGCUCGAGAGCGUGGGGAGCAAACAGG